rnacentral:rRNA from 1 species
UUGAACGCUGGCGGCAGGCCUAACACAUGCAAGUCGAGCGGUAGCACAGAGAGCUUGCUCUCGGGUGACGAGCGGCGGACGGGUGAGUAAUGUCUGGGAAACUGCCUGAUGGAGGGGGAUAACUACUGGAAACGGUAGCUAAUACCGCAUAAUGUCGCAAGACCAAAGUGGGGGACCUUCGGGCCUCAUGCCAUCAGAUGUGCCCAGAUGGGAUUAGCUAGUAGGUGGGGUAACGGCUCACCUAGGCGACGAUCCCUAGCUGGUCUGAGAGGAUGACCAGCCACACUGGAACUGAGACACGGUCCAGACUCCUACGGGAGGCAGCAGUGGGGAAUAUUGCACAAUGGGCGCAAGCCUGAUGCAGCCAUGCCGCGUGUGUGAAGAAGGCCUUCGGGUUGUAAAGCACUUUCAGCGGGGAGGAAGGCGGUGAGGUUAAUAACCUCAUCGAUUGACGUUACCCGCAGAAGAAGCACCGGCUAACUCCGUGCCAGCAGCCGCGGUAAUACGGAGGGUGCAAGCGUUAAUCGGAAUUACUGGGCGUAAAGCGCACGCAGGCGGUCUGUCAAGUCGGAUGUGAAAUCCCCGGGCUCAACCUGGGAACUGCAUUCGAAACUGGCAGGCUAGAGUCUUGUAGAGGGGGGUAGAAUUCCAGGUGUAGCGGUGAAAUGCGUAGAGAUCUGGAGGAAUACCGGUGGCGAAGGCGGCCCCCUGGACAAAGACUGACGCUCAGGUGCGAAAGCGUGGGGAGCAAACAGGAUUAGAUACCCUGGUAGUCCACGCCGUAAACGAUGUCGAUUUGGAGGUUGUGCCCUUGAGGCGUGGCUUCCGGAGCUAACGCGUUAAAUCGACCGCCUGGGGAGUACGGCCGCAAGGUUAAAACUCAAAUGAAUUGACGGGGGCCCGCACAAGCGGUGGAGCAUGUGGUUUAAUUCGAUGCAACGCGAAGAACCUUACCUGGUCUUGACAUCCACAGAACUUUCCAGAGAUGGAUUGGUGCCUUCGGGAACUGUGAGACAGGUGCUGCAUGGCUGUCGUCAGCUCGUGUUGUGAAAUGUUGGGUUAAGUCCCGCAACGAGCGCAACCCUUAUCCUUUGUUGCCAGCGGUUAGGCCGGGAACUCAAAGGAGACUGCCAGUGAUAAACUGGAGGAAGGUGGGGAUGACGUCAAGUCAUCAUGGCCCUUACGACCAGGGCUACACACGUGCUACAAUGGCAUAUACAAAGAGAAGCGACCUCGCGAGAGCAAGCGGACCUCAUAAAGUAUGUCGUAGUCCGGAUUGGAGUCUGCAACUCGACUCCAUGAAGUCGGAAUCGCUAGUAAUCGUAGAUCAGAAUGCUACGGUGAAUACGUUCCCGGGCCUUGUACACACCGCCCGUCACACCAUGGGAGUCAGUAACGCCCGAAGUCAGUGACCUAACCGCAAGGGAGGAGCUGCCGAAGGCGGGACCGAUGACUGGGGUG